ncrna:unclassified sequences pemK RNA
AUAAUGAUACUUCCGUAAGCGGCUGGCGGAGAACCCGGCAGAGGUGAAAUCCCUAUGA